rnacentral:misc_RNA from 1 species
UUUCCGUAGGUGAACCUGCGGAAGGAUCAUUAAAAAUGAAGCCGGGAAACCGGUCCUUCUAACCCUUGAUUAUCUUAAUUUGUUGCUUUGGUGGGCCGCGCAAGCACCGGCUUCGGCUGGAUCGUGCCCGCCAGAGGACACAACUCUGUAUCAAAUGUCGUCUGAGUACUAUAAAAUAGUUAAAACUUUCAACAACGGAUCACUUGGUUCUGGCAUCGAUGAAGAAGGCAGC